rnacentral:rRNA from 1 species
GACGAACGCUGGCGGCGUGCUUAACACAUGCAAGUCGAACGAUGAAAGCUGGAGCUUGCUCCGGCUGGAUUAGUGGCGAACGGGUGAGUAACACGUGAGCAAUCUGCCCUUGACUCUGGGAUAACUCCGAGAAAUCGGUGCUAAUACCGGAUAUGACCCUUGGCGGCAUCGCUGGGGGUGGAAAGUUUUUCGGUCAAGGAUGAGCUCGCGGCCUAUCAGCUCGUUGGUGAGGUAAUGGCUCACCAAGGCGACGACGGGUAGCCGGCCUGAGAGGGUGACCGGCCACACUGGGACUGAGACACGGCACAGACUCCUACGGGAGGCAGCAGUGGGGAAUAUUGCACAAUGGGCGCAAGCCUGAUGCAGCAACGCCGCGUGGGGGAUGACGGCCUUCGGGUUGUAAACCUCUUUUAGCAGGGAAGAAGCGAAAGUGACGGUACCUGCAGAAAAAGCACCGGCUAACUACGUGCCAGCCGCCGCGGUAA